rnacentral:rRNA from 1 species
UACGAAGGGGGCUAGCAUUGCUCGGAAUCACUGGGCGUAAAGGGUGCGUAGGCGGGUCUUUAAGUCAGGGGUGAAAUCCUGGAGCUCAACUCCAGAACUGCCUUUGAUACUGAAGAUCUUGAGUUCGGGAGAGGUGAGUGGAACUGCGAGUGUAGAGGUGAAAUUCGUAGAUAUUCGCAAGAACACCAGUGGCGAAGGCGGCUCACUGGCCCGAUACUGACGCUGAGGCACGAAAGCGUGGGGAGCAAAACGG